rnacentral:tRNA from 13 species
UGGUUCCGCCCGGGAUCGAACCGUAGACCUUUCGCGUGUAAAGCGAAUGUGAUAACCACUACACUACGGAACC